CCCUUAGAUGUUCUGGGCCGCACGCGUGCUACACUGACCGGCGCAACAAGCUUUUUUCCUUGGCUCGACAGGCCUGGGUAAUCUUCGAACGCCGGUCGUGAUGGGGAUAGAUCCUUGCAAUUUUUGAUCUUCAACGAGGAAUUCCUAGUAAACGCAAGUCAUCAACUUGCAUUGAUUACGUCCCUGCCCUUUGUACACACCGCCCGUCGCACCUACCGAUUGAAUGGUCCGGUGAAGCCUCCGGAUUGGCGCGCACCUCGGUGCCGCCGAGAAGUUGGCUAAACCUUACCAUUUAGAGGAAGGUGAAGUCGUANCA
rnacentral:rRNA from 1 species